rfam:Schistosoma haematobium scaffold1871_12, whole genome shotgun sequence.
AGCUUUCUGAAUCCGUGCUGAGAUUUCAUCAGACACCAACCCAUCAGGGCUGAUUAGACUUCCGAGAUAACGCG